GACGGAGGGUGCAAGCGUUGUUCGGAAUUACUGGGCGUAAAGGGCGCGUAGGCGGUCUGUUAAAUUCGGUGUGAAAGCCCCCGGCUCACCUGGGGAACUGCGCCGGAAACCGACAGACUCGAGUACCGGAGAGGAGGGUGGAAUUCCUGGUGUAGCGGUGAAAUGCGUAGAUAUCAGGAGGAACACCGGUGGCGAAGGCGGCCCUCUGGACGGAUACUGACGCUGGAGGAGCGAAAGCGUGGGGAGCGAACAGG
rnacentral:rRNA from 1 species